rnacentral:rRNA from 1 species
UACGUAGGUGGCAAGCGUUGUCCGGAAUUAUUGGGCGUAAAGCGCGCGCAGGCGGUUCUUUAAGUCUGAUGUGAAAGCCCACGGCUCAACCGUGGAGGGUCAUUGGAAACUGGAGAACUUGAGUACAGAAGAGGAAAGCGGAAUUCCACGUGUAGCGGUGAAAUGCGUAGAGAUGUGGAGGAACACCAGUGGCGAAGGCGGCUUUCUGGUCUGUAACUGACACUGAGGCGCGAAAGCGUGGGGAGCGAACAGG